CGGAGGAUCCAAGCGUUAUCCGGAAUCAUUGGGUUUAAAGGGUCCGUAGGCGGUUUGAUAAGUCAGUGGUGAAAGCCCAUCGCUCAACGAUGGAACGGCCAUUGAUACUGUCAGACUUGAAUUACUGGGAAGUAACUAGAAUAUGUAGUGUAGCGGUGAAAUGCUUAGAUAUUACAUGGAAUACCAAUUGCGAAGGCAGGUUACUACCAGUGGAUUGACGCUGAUGGACGAAGGCGUGGGGAGCGAACAGGAUUAGAUACCCUGGUAGUCCACGCCGUAAACGAUGGAUACUAGCUGUUGGGCGCAAGUUCAGUGGCUAAGCGAAAGUGAUAAGUAUCCCACUGGGGAGUACGUUCGCAAGAAUG
rnacentral:rRNA from 1 species